rnacentral:rRNA from 1 species
CCCGCUGAACUUAAGCAUAUCAAUAAGCGGAGGAAAAGAAACCAACAGGGAUUGCCUUAGUAACGGCGAGUGAAGCGGCAACAGCUCAAAUUUGAAAUCUGGCUCUUUCAGGGUCCGAGUUGUAAUUUGUAGAAGAUGCUUCGGGUGUGGUACCGGUCUAAGUUCCUUGGAACAGGACGUCAUAGAGGGUGAGAAUCCCGUAUGUGACUGGUCACCUUCGCUCAUGUGAAGCUCUUUCGACGAGUCGAGUUGUUUGGGAAUGCAGCUCAAAAUGGGUGGUAAAUUUCAUCUAAAGCUAAAUAUUGGCCAGAGACCGAUAGCGCACAAGUAGAGUGAUCGAAAGAUGAAAAGCACUUUGGAAAGAGAGUUAAACAGUACGUGAAAUUGUUGAAAGGGAAGCGCUUGCAACCAGACUUGCACGUAGUUAAUCAUCCGGGGUUCUCCCCGGUGCACUUGGCUACGUUCAGGCCAGCAUCGGUUUCGGUGGUUGGAUAAAGGCCUAGGGAAUGUGGCUCUCUUCGGGGAGUGUUAUAGCCCUAGGUGCAAUGCAGCCCACUGGGACCGAGGACCGCGCUUUGGCUAGGAUGCUGGCGUAAUGGUUGUAAGCGACCCGUCUUGAAACACGG